AGCAAGCCGUCAAUUCAGCUAACCCGUUCCUCCGUCUUUGACCACCAAGUCUUCCCUUCCACCUAUCCCAGACUACAAGUACAUCGUCACCCAACUCCCUCGACUGAUUUAUAUUGAAGGAAAUCUUAUCAUUAUAUAUAUAAAACAAUAAAAUUUUAAAAAUUAUUCCUCAACUUCAUGCAACUAAAUAAAUUAUUUAUAGUUGCAGUACUUUCUCCUAUAUCUAAUCAAACAUAAUACAUAUAGCUAUAGUUACAAUUACUAUAUUUAUACCUACAUGUAUCUCAAACUAUACUAUAUUUAUAAUUACAUCUAACUAAAAGGGUUUGGUAAACCUACAAUGCUUAAAUUAAGGAUUGUAAAAAUUAAAAUUCUUUUCGUUUCUCCUCUUUCUUUUUUGGUAAUCUGAUUCUUGACCUUUAGAAUUAAUUAUACAAUUCGUCCAUAACUUUCUCUCGUUUGUUUUUCACUUUUGGUCACAUCCCUAGAAUCGCAUACCUGUGCACAUUUCAGUAAUAAGUCCAAUCCCAUCAUCUUUGGACUUUUUUCGAAAAUAACCCUCUGAAAUUUUGUAAUUGGCAAAAUAACCCUCUGAAAAUUUUAUUUGUAAAACUAACCCUCCUUUCGCCACGUCGGCGCCAGGUGGGAUUUUUCUCGUAAAGACGGUGAAUUGUUCACCGUCUGUACGCAUUUCUCAUGAAGACGGUAUAUGGUUAACCGUCUUCUCUAGGCGUGGACCUUCUCAGCAAUUCCCCGCGUAUCAGCGCUAUCGCAGUAAUUCGACGAGAAGACG
rnacentral:lncRNA from 1 species